rnacentral:rRNA from 1 species
AUUGAACGCUGGCGGCAGGCUUAACACAUGCAAGUCGAGCGGAGUGAUGGUGCUUGCACUAUCACUUAGCGGCGGACGGGUGAGUAAUGCUUAGGAAUCUGCCUAUUAGUGGGGGACAACAUCUCGAAAGGGAUGCUAAUACCGCAUACGUCCUACGGGAGAAAGCAGGGGAUCACUUGUGACCUUGCGCUAAUAGAUGAGCCUAAGUCGGGUUAGCUAGUUGGUGGGGUAAAGGCCUACCAAGGCGACGAUCUGUAGCGGGUCUGAGAGGAUGAUCCGCCACACUGGGACUGAGACACGGCCCAGAAUCCUACGGGAGGCAGCAGGGGGGAAUAUCGGACAAUGGGGGGAACCCUGAUCCAGCCAUGCCGCGUGUGUGAAGAAGGCCUUAUGGUUGUAAAGCACUUUAAGCGAGGAGGAGGCUCUUUUGGUUAAUACCCAAGAUGAGUGGACGUUACUCGCAGAAUAAGCACCGGCUAACUCUGUGCCAGCCGCCGCCGUAAUAC